rnacentral:rRNA from 1 species
UACGGGGGGGGCAAGCGUUGUUCGGAAUUACUGGGCGUAAAGGGCUCGUAGGCGGCCAACUAAGUCAGACGUGAAAUCCCCAGGCUCAACCUGGGAACUGCGUCUGAUACUGGUUGGCUUGAAUCCGGGAGAGGGAUGCAGAAUUCCAGGUGUAGCGGUGAAAUGCGUAGAUAUCUGGAGGAAUACCGGUGGCGAAGGCGGCGACCUGGGUCGAGACUGACGCUGAGGCGCGAAAGCGUGGGGAGCAAACAGG